UGGCACUCCAGCGUGAAGCUGACA
rnacentral:miRNA from 1 species